rnacentral:rRNA from 1 species
GAUCUGGCUCAGAACGAACGCUGGUGGCGUGUCUAUACAUGCAAGUCGAGCGAGGCAGCAAUGCCGAGCGGCGAACGGGUGAGUAACGCGUAAGCAAUCUGCCCCAUAUCAGGAAAUACCCGUGCCAACGCGCGGUUAAUGUCCAGGAGAGUGGCCCUCUGCAUGGAGGGUUGACUAGAGAUUUAUCGGUAUGGGAUGAGCUUGCGUCCGAUUAGCUAGUUGGCGGGCAACGGCCCACCAAGGCGACGAUCGGUAGCCGGCCUGAGAGGGUGAUCGGCCACAUUGGGACUGAGAUACGGCCCAGACUCCUACGGGAGGCAGCAGUAGGGAAUAUUGCACAAUGGGGGAAACCCUGAUGCAGCAACGCCACGUGUGGGAAGAAGCAUUUCGGUGUGUAAACCACUGUCAUGAGGGAAUAAGGCCCUUAUCCGUAAGGGACUUGAAUGUACCUUGAGAGGAAGCACCGGCAAACUUCGUGCCAGCCGCCGC